rnacentral:rRNA from 1 species
UACGGAGGGUGCAAGCGUUAUCCGGAUUCACUGGGUUUAAAGGGUGCGUAGGCGGGCAGGUAAGUCCGUGGUGAAAUCUCUGAGCUUAACUCAGAAACUGCCAUGGAUACUAUUUGUCUUGAAUAUUGUGGAGGUUAGCGGAAUAUGUCAUGUAGCGGUGAAAUGCUUAGAUAUGACAUAGAACACCAAUUGCGAAGGCAGCUAGCUACACAGUUAUUGACGCUGAGGCACGAAAGCGUGGGGAUCAAACAGG